rnacentral:rRNA from 1 species
GACGAACGCUGGCGGCGUGCUUAACACAUGCAAGUCGAACGGGGCAGCGCCGUCCUUUUGGUGGGGGGGGAGGAGCGGCGAAGGGGUGAGCAAGACGGUAGCCACCUGCCCCCUUCUGCUGGACCGCCGCAUGAAAGUGCGGCUAAUACGGGAUCUUCUGGUUCCGUCGCAUGUUGGUGCGGGGGAAUAUAUUGUUUCGGUGGGGGAUGGGCUCGCGGCCUAUCAGCUUGUUGGUGGGGUGAUGGCCUACCAAGGCGGUGACGGGUAGCCGGCCUGAGAGGGUGGACGGUCACACUGGGACUGAGACACGGCCCAGACUCCUGCGAGAGGCAGCAGUGGGGAGUAUUGCACAAUGGGCGGAAGCCUGAUGCAGCGACGCCGCGUGAGGGAUGGAGGCCUUCGGGUUGUGAACCUCUUUCGCCAGUGAAGCAGGCCUGGCUCGUUUGUGGGUGGGUUGCCGGAAGCUGGAUAAGAAGCGCCGGCUAACUACGUG